CUUUCAAAGGAUACGGAGUGGCUAGGGUUCCGUCGAAAGAAAAACCCUAACUAACAUGCUGGUCCGGCCAGACUGCCGCCGCCGUCUGAUCCCUCACAAGUCAAGGCUAUACCUUCUAAACUCCGCCAAAUGAUGUUCUUCACCACCGAUUCUCUCCACGGUGAACACAAGCAGCAGAAGGGGAUGCUGGGAAAAAGAAAAAACAAGCGGUGAAUGGAACUAAAUUAAAAGCCAAUGAGAUCAAAGAUGGAAGUAAUGAUAAGAAUCUCAAGAAGUCUCGAGAUUCAGAUAGGGAGGAAGAUACUAUGCGGAGUGAAAAAGGUGGAAAGAAAAACAAGAAAAGGAAGAGGAAUCAAGUAACCGAUCUCCGGUUUGAAACUACUGUGGAUAAGUUAGCGGCAGCUCUAAACGAAAGGAGCGCAAGAAAAAGUAUUUUGAAGCGAAGAAGAAAAAGCAUAAGAUUGCUAGAAUAAAAGAGAUCCUAGAUUUCCUGGAAGAGACUGUAAAAUUCGGAGAUGUGGUCGAAGCUCCUCUGAAGUUGGUUAAAGUAC